ACUUAAAUUGAAGAGUUUGAUCAUGGCUCAGAUUGAACGCUGGCGGCAGGCCUAACACAUGCAAGUCGAGCGGCAGCGGGAAAGUAGCUUGCUACUUUUGCC
rnacentral:rRNA from 3 species